CCUACGGGAGGCUGCAGUGAGGAAUAUUGGUCAAUGGUCGAGAGACUGAACCAGCCAAGCCGCGUGAGGGAGGAAGGUACAGAGUAUCGUACACCUCUUUUGUCAGGGAACAAAGUCGGGGCCGUGUCCCCGGAUGAGUGUACCUGAAGAACAAGCAUCGGCUAACUCCGCGCCAGCAGCCGCGGUAAUACGGAGGAUGCGAGCGUUAUCCGGAGUUAUUGGGUUUAAAGGGUGCGCAGGCGGUCUGUUAAGUCAGCGGUCAAAGCCCGGGGGUCAACCCCGGCCCGCCGUUGAAACUGGCAGUCUCGAGUGGGAGAGAAGUAUGCGGAAUGCGCGGUGUAGCGGUGAAAUGCAUAGAU
rnacentral:rRNA from 1 species